UACGUAGGGGGCAAGCGUUGUCCGGAAUCAUUGGGCGUAAAGAGCGUGUAGGUGGCUCGGUAAGUCCGCUGUGAAAGUCCAGGGCUCAACCUCGGAAUGCCGGUGGAAACUGUCGAGCUAGAGUCCGGAAGAGGCGAGUGGAAUUCCUGGUGUAGCGGUGAAAUGCGCAGAUAUCAGGAAGAACACCCGUGGCUAAGGCGGCUCUCUAGUACGGUACUGACGCUGAGACGCGAAAGCGUGGGGAGCGAACAGG
rnacentral:rRNA from 1 species